rnacentral:rRNA from 1 species
GACUCGGUUGGGCGGUCCGCUUAACGGCGUGUACUGUCUGACUGGGCCUUACCUCUUGGUGAGCCAGUGUGCCCUUUAUUGGUGUGCAUUGGGGAACCAGGACUUUUACCUUGAGAAAAUUAGAGUGUUUAAAGCAGGCUCGCGCUUGAAUACAUUAGCAUGGAAUAAUGAAAUAGGACG